rnacentral:lncRNA from 1 species
NNNNNNNNNNNNNNNNNNNNNNNNNNNNNNNNNNNNNNNNNNNNNNNNNNNNNNNNNNAGAACAGAGGCCUCAGAAAUAACACCACACAUUUACAACCAUCUGAUCUUUGACAAACCUGACAAAAACAAGCAAUGGGGAAAGGAUUCCCUAUUUAAUAAAUGAUGUUGGGAAAACUGGCUAGCUAUAUGCAGAAAACUCAAACUGGACAUCUUUCUUACACCUUAUACAAAAAUUAACUCAAAAUGGAUUAAAGACUUAAAUGUAAGACCUAAAACCAUAAAAAACCCUAGAAGAAAACCUCGGUAAUACCAUUCAGGACAUAGGCAUGGGCAAAGACUUCAUGACUAAAACACCAAAAGCAAUGGCAACAAAAGCCAAAAUAGACAAAUGGGAUCUAAUUAAACUAAAGAGCUUCUGCACAGCGAAAGAAACUAUCAUCAGAGUGAACAGGCAACCUACAGAAUGGGAGAAAAUUUUUGCAGUCUAUCCAUCUGACAAGGGGCUGAUAUCUAGAGUCUACCAAGAACUUAAAUUUGCAAGAAAAAAACCACCCCCUCAAAAAGUGGGUGAAGGAUAUGAACAGACACUUCUCAAAAGAAGAGAUUAUGAAAUAAAGCUCAUCAUCACUGGUCAUUAGAGAAAUGCAAAUCAAAACCACAAUGAGAUACCAUCUCACGCCAGUUAGAGUGGCGAUCAUUAAAAAGUCAGGAAACAACAGAUGCUGGAGAGGAUGUGGAGAAAUAGGAAUUCUUUUACAGUGUUGGUGGGAGUGUAAAUGAGUUCAACCAUUGUGGAAGACAGUGUGAUGAUUCCUCAAGGAUCUAGAACCAGAAAUACCAUUUGACCCAGCAAUCUCAUUACUGGGUAUAUACCCAAAGGAUUAUGAAUCACUCUACUAUAAAGACACAUGCACACGCAUGUUUAUUGCAGCACUAUUCACAAUAGCAAAGACUUGGAACCAACCCAAAGGCCCAUCAAUGAUAGACUGGAUAAAAGAAAACAUAUAUACCAUGGAAUACUAUGCAACCAUAAAAAAGGAUGAGUUCAUGUCCUUUGCAGGGACAUGGAUGAAGCUGGAAACAAUCAUUCUCAGCAAACUAACACAGAAACAGAAAACCAGACACCGCAUGUUCUCACUUACAAGUGGGAGUUGAAAAAUGAGAACACAUGGACACAGGGAGGGGAACAUCACACAGUGGG